rnacentral:rRNA from 1 species
GAGCGGUAGAGAGAAGCUUGCUUCUCUUGAGAGCGGCGAACGGGUGAGUAAUGCCUAGGAAUCUGCCUGGUAGUGGGGGAUAACGUUCGGAAACGGACGCUAAUACCGCAUACGUCCUACGGGAGAAAGCAGGGGACCUUCGGGCCUUGCGCUAUCAGAUGAGCCUAGGUCGGAUUAGCUAGUUGGUGGGGUAAUGGCUCACCAAGGCGACGAUCCGUAACUGGUCUGAGAGGAUGAUCAGUCACACUGGAACUGAGACACGGUCCAGACUCCUACGGGAGGCAGCAGAAGGGAAUAUUGGACAAUGGGCGAAAGCCUGAUCCAGCCAUGCCGCGUGUGUGAAGAAGGUCUUCGGAUUGUAAAGCACUUUAAGUUGGGAGGAAGGGUUGUAGAUUAAUACUCUGCAAUUUUGACGUUACCGACAGAAUAAGCACCGGCUAACUCUGUG